AGAGUUUGAUCCUGGCUCAGAACGAACGCUGGCGGCAUGCCUAACACAUGCAAGUCGAACGAAGGCUUCGGCCUUAGUGGCGCACGGGUGCGUAACGCGUGGGAAUCUGCCCCUCGGUUCGGAAUAACACAGAGAAAUUUGUGCUAAUACCGGAUGAUGACUUCGGUCCAAAGAUUUAUCGCCGAGGGAUGAGCCCGCGU
rnacentral:rRNA from 1 species